rnacentral:rRNA from 1 species
CACGUAGGCGGACUGGUCAGUUGGGGGUGAAAUCCCAGGGCUCAACCCUGGAACUGCCUCCAAUACUGCCAGUCUUGAGUCCGAGAGAGGUGAGUGGAACUCCUAGUGUAGAGGUGAAAUUCGUAGAUAUUAGGAAGAACACCAGUGGCGAAGGCGGCUCACUGGCUCGGUACUGACGCUGAGGUGCGAAAGCGUGGGGAGCAAACA